rnacentral:rRNA from 1 species
GAUGAACGCUGGCGGCGUGCCUAAUACAUGCAAGUCGAGCGAACGGACGAGAAGCUUGCUUCUCUGAUGUUAGCGGCGGACGGGUGAGUAACACGUGGAUAACCUACCUAUAAGACUGAGAUAACUUCGGGAAACCGGAGCUAAUACCGGAUGAUAUUUUGAACCGCAUGGUUCAAAAGUGAAAGACGGUCUUGCUGUCACUUAUAGAUGGAUCCGCGCUGCAUUAGCUAGUUGGUAAGGUAACGGCUUACCAAGGCAACGAUGCAUAGCCGACCUGAGAGGGUGAUCGGCCACACUGGAACUGAGACACGGUCCAGACUCCUACGGGAGGCAGCAAUAGGGAAUCUUCCGCAAUGGGCGAAAGCCUGACGGAGCAACGCCGAGUGAGUGAUGAAGGUCUUCGGAUCGUAAAACUCUGUUAUUAGGGAAGAACAUAUGUGUAAGUAACUGUGCACAUCUUGACGGUACCUAAUCAGAAAGCCACGGCUAACUACGUG